GAUGAACGCUAGCGGCAGGCCUAACACAUGCAAGUCGAGGGGCAUCGCGGUGCAGCAAUGCACUGGCGGCGACCGGCGUACGGGUGCGUAACGCGUAUGCAACCUGCCCCGCACCGGGGGAUAGCCCGCCGAAAGGCGGAUUAAUACCCCAUGGUCCCGGGGGCCCGCAUGGGCAUCCGGGUAAAGCCUUGGCGGUGCGGGAUGGGCAUGCGUGCCAUUAGCUGGCUGGUGGGGUAACGGCCCACCAGGGCAACGAUGGCUAGGGGGUCUGAGAGGAUGGUCCCCCACACUGGUACUGAGACACGGACCAGACUCCUACGGGAGGCAGCAGUGAGGAAUAUUGGUCAAUGGGCGGAAGCCUGAACCAGCCAUGCCGCGUGCGGGAUGAAGGCCCUACGGGUUGUAAACCGCUUUUCCCCGGAAGAAUAACCCCGAUGAGUCGGGGAUGCCGGUACCGGGGGAAUAAGGAUCGGCUAACUCCGUGCCAGCAGCCGCGGUAAAGUCACGUCG
rnacentral:rRNA from 1 species